rnacentral:rRNA from 1 species
UUGGAGGGCAAGUCUGGUGCCAGCAGCCGCGGUAAUUCCAGCUCCAAUAGCGUAUAUCAAAGUUGUUGCAGUUAAAAAGCUCGCAGUUGAAUUUCGGGAUCAGAGUGUCGGUCGUGCCUCGGUACGCACUGGUAUUAUUGGUUCCUACCUUCUGAAGAACCGCGAUGUCAUUAAUUUGGUGUCGUGGGGAAUCAGGACUGUUACUUUGAAAAAAUUAGAGUGUUUAAAGCAGGCUUACGCUUGAAUACAUUAGCAUGGAAUAAUGAAAUAGGACGUUCGAUCCUAUUUUGUUGGUUUCUAGGAUUGACGUAAUGAUUAAUAGGGAUAGUUGGGGGCAUUAGUAUUCAAUUGUCAGAGGUGAAAUUCUUGGAUUUAUUGAAGACUAACUACUGCGAAAGCAUUUGCCAAGGAUGUUUUCAUUAAUCAAGAACGAAAGUUAGGGGAUCGAAGACGAUCAGAUACCGUCGUAGUCUUAACCAUAAACUAUGCCGACUAGGGAUCGGAUGAUGUUAAUUUUUUAAUGACUCAUUCGGCGCCUUACGGGAAACCAAAGUGUUUGGGUUC